rnacentral:rRNA from 1 species
UACGUAGGGGGCGAGCGUUGUCCGGAAUCAUUGGGCGUAAAGCGCGUGUAGGCGGUCCGGUAAGUCCGCUGUGAAAGUCGGGGGCUCAACCCUCGAAUGCCGGUGGAUACUGUCGGGCUAGAGUGCGGAAGGGGCGAGUGGAAUUCCUGGUGUAGCGGUGAAAUGCGCAGAUAUCAGGAGGAACACCGGUGGCGAAGGCGGGUCUCUGGGCCGAUACUGACGCUGAGGAGCGAAAGCGUGGGGAGCGAACAGG